rnacentral:rRNA from 1 species
UACGGGGGGGGCUAGUGUUAUUCGGAAUGACUAGGCGUAAAGGGCACGUAGGCGGUGAAUCCGGUUGAAAGUGAAAGUCGCCAGCUCAACUGGCGGAAUGCUUUCAAAACCAAUUCACUUGAGUAAGAUAGAGGAUAGUGGAAUUUCGUGUGUAGAGAUAAAAUUCACAGAUAUACGAAGGAACACCAAAAGCGAAGGCAGCUUUCUGGGUCUCUACUGACGCUGAGGUGCGAAAGCAUAGGGAGCAAACAGG